CGCUGCUAGACGCCGCCAUGAGUACCAACAUGUAAGAUACUGUGGGCUGCGGGACUGCAGGGGCUUGGCGGGACCCAAGAGAAGAUCUCCAGCUACAGUGUGGUCCCAGCAUCAGCCCUUUGCCCUUGCAAUGACCCCUCUAACAAAACCAAAUUAAAAAAACAAACAACAAAAAAUCAAAUCAAACCAAACCGAACCAAAAAAAAAAAAAAAAAAAAAAAAAAAGAGGGAGAAGACUCUUGUCCUGGAAGCUGCAGUAUUGUCCGUUAUGCAAGGCCUCUCCUGAACACAGGCACAUGGUGCAAGAGGAAUCUGAAGGUUUGACUGGUUGAUGAUCAAGAUGGCAUGUCAGCUCACCAUUUGGAUCCUUGGUGGGAAUGGCUGGAAGAGGUACAGGCGAGUCUCACAGAGGAAGCAAACCACGCUUAAGGGAAGGCUGUGUGCCCAGCAGUAGAUAUCCAACAGAAAAGGAGCACCAUGGCAUCUUGGGGGAGGGUAUAGUCAGGAUGCACCAUGACAUUGGUUGUCACAUCACUGUCACCGGUUGGCUGUUAUGGCUUUUCACACGUUUCUUGUCUUGGAUGACCUCGGCACUCAGGUAUCUAACAUUAAGUUGAGAUGUCUGGUAUUUCUUUCAUGAUUAGCCUUGGGCCACUGGAUUUUACUGAGGAGGUGUGGGAAGACCACAUAAAU